rnacentral:rRNA from 1 species
AUUGAACGCUGGCGGCAUGCCUUACACAUGCAAGUCGAACGGUAACAGGUCUUCGGAUGCUGACGAGUGGCGAACGGGUGAGUAAUACAUCGGAACGUGCCCGAUCGUGGGGGAUAACGAAGCGAAAGCUUUGCUAAUACCGCAUAAGAUCUACGGAUGAAAGCAGGGGACCGCAAGGCCUUGCGCGAACGGAGCGGCCGAUGGCAGAUUAGGUAGUUGGUGGGAUAAAAGCUUACCAAGCCGACGAUCUGUAGCUGGUCUGAGAGGACGACCAGCCACACUGGGACUGAGACACGGCCCAGACUCCUACGGGAGGCAGCAGUGGGGAAUUUUGGACAAUGGGCGCAAGCCUGAUCCAGCCAUGCCGCGCGCAGGAUGAAGGCCUUCGGGUUGUAAACUGCUUUUGUACGGAACGAAAAGACUCUGGUUAAUACCUGGGGUCCAUGACGGUACCGUAAGAAUAAGCACCGGCUAACUACGUGCCAGCCGCCGCGGUAACAC